GCAAAAAUAACUUAUAUUACAGGGCCAAAAUCAUGGAUCCCAACGGAUUAACAACGAUGUAUAUCGGAAUGACGAGCAAAUCUUCCAAUGAUAGAUACACAUAACACCUGGUGUCAUUCACGGACAAAAAUAAAAGACAUGCAACAUCCCUAUCCAAUAUGAUAUGGACAUUGAAAGAAGGAAGAAUAACUAAGCGCCAGAUUCAAUCGAAAGCUAUUGUUUAGCCAGUAAACAAAUAGAGCGGCAUAUCGAAUUUGAACACUGCAUCAUUGCAAAACUACAUAUCAUACAGUCUACAGUUAACAGCCAAAAUAUUAAGGAUACAACCUUUUCUCCCUGCAUACACUAACAAUAAUAUCACACUUAGACAUUUCAAAGAGGAGCCACUAAACGCAUUGCUAACCCAACGAAGAUAGUUUCUUUCCCUGAACGUGAAAAUUGAAUAUAUAAAACACAUGAACUCCACGUAUAGAAGAAAAUAUGCCCCUUCUGAUGAAUUUCCUCAGCAUAUAAACAAACGCACACCACACAUGCCCAGAAUUCACUAUAAUAUAAUGCAAGUAUUUUUUUAUAUAUAAAAAUAUAGCGGCGUAUGUACACUUUGGUCUCUUGGACGCUGCCAACACACAAAGCUAAACGACAUGCAGACAGGAUACACUGGCCCAGGAGGAAUUGAAAUCCCUGCAUCAAAAUCAAUGCGUGACCUGGGCAUUCAUAUAAGCAAUGAUGCAUCUUUCCAAGAGCAUAUUACCAAUUUGGUAAUAAAAUGCAGAGUAAUGGCUGGGUGGAUCCACCGAACUUUCAAAACAAAAGAAAAGGAGACACUGAUGAUCCUUUGGCAGACAUACAUUCUUAGACUAUUGCUCCCAACUAUGGUCACCAUACAAUAAAAAAUCCACGGCGGAACUCGAAGCAAUCCAACGAAGCUACACUAAAAUCGUCUCGAUGCAGCAUUUCCGCUACUGGGAAAAACUGAAAAAAAUUAAAACUCGUCUCCCUGGGACGAAGGCGGGAGAGAUUUGCAGUAAUAUACAUCUGGAAAAUCCUAGAAGGCCUUGCACCAAACUUUGGCAUUGAAAGUUAUUCAAACUGCAGAAAGGAGCGUCAUUACAUAGUGCCAAGGAUCCCAGCAUCGCCAUCAAAAUAAAGGACCAUAUACUGCAACAGAUUGGGCUUCAAGGACCCACAGCUCUUUAAAAUCCUUCCAAAAUGCCUGAGAGUCCUGCAUGGUGUGGAUGUAAGUGUUUUUAAAACGAAAUUGGAUCUCUUCCUGUUACGGGUUCCAGACGAGCCUACCUCACGGCAGGAAACGCAGAUGAAGGCAGCAUCAUCAAAUUCUCUCAUUGACCAAAUGCCACAUAUUAGAGAAGUUUCCAAAUGAUGGUGUAGCUGAGUCAAUGGUGGUGCUCCAGUUGAAGCAUUUUAAACCCUAUCUUAACCCUUGACAGAAGAGACCCACAAUUCAAAAUGUUCCAACUUGGAUCGUUCAGUCUAUACUUCCUUACUGACAACAAAAAGUAAUAAUAAGCAAGAAUACCCUGUCAGCAGAGUUUAACAUGAGAUAUAUAUUUGUGAAGAUAUAGCUAUUUGCAAAUAUAGCAGACGAGAGCACAAACCUGGUGGACUAUAACGUUGGGAAUUGAAAGCGAAAUUUAAUUUUGAAUUACACUAAGAGGUGAGAAACCACGAGCGCAGAUACUAUAAAUCAUGUCUACCCACACACACACAAACUAUCUUUGACUCUUUAUCUCCAUUUCUCUAACACACACA
rnacentral:lncRNA from 1 species